GAUGAACGCUAGCGGCAGGCCUAAUACAUGCAAGACGAACGGUAAGAUUUUUAGCAAUAGAGAUCCUAGAGUGUCGUAAGGGUGCGUAACACGUAUGCAAUCUGCCCUCAACAGGAGAAUAGCUCCCCGAAAGGGGAAUUAACACUCCGUAAGAUUGAGGUUCGGCAUCGGACAGCAAUUAAAACUGAGGUGGUUGAGGAUGAGCAUGCGCAUGAUUAGUUAGUUGGCGGGGUAACGGCCCACCAAGACGAUGAUCAUUAGGGGAACUGAGAGGUUGAUCCCCCACACUGGCACUGAGAUACGGGCCAGACUCCUACGGGAGGCAGCAGUAGGGAAUUUUGGACAAUGGGCGAAAGCCUGAUCCAGCAAUGCCGCGUGCAGGAAGAAGGCCUUCGGGUUGUAAACUGCUUUUGUACGGAGCGAAAAGGUCCUUUCUAAUACAAGGGGCUCAUGACGGUACCGUAGGAAUAAGCACCGGCUAACUACGUGCCAGCCGCCGCCGUAA
rnacentral:rRNA from 1 species